GGUAGCUGUUAUCACUAUUAUUUUCUAAGGGGAAAUCAACUAAUCAAACUUGUGAAAAGAACCUCAAGAUUACCCUGUUCCUUUUGUCUUUCAAUUCAAAGACCUUCUACACAGAGGCUUUCUCUGAGUUUUCACACCACACUUUUUUAAAACCCAUGAUGGACAACUAACCUCUGUAUUCUGACAUUGCCAGAAUGUUUUUUUUCUGCUUAGUGGACUUUAAUUAUUACUGAAUUACAUUAGGAUUCCCAUGUAAUUACUUAUUAGAGCUGCACAGUGCCAAAAUGAGUCACCAUGAUUCAAUCUGCUAGAAUGGCUACCAAGGAAACUGUGCAUGAGUUUCCAUCUUGUGAAGUAUUUGGUCACAUGAAACCAACUUCACUGAGUAACAUGAGCUACAUCCCCCUCAACAUUAUAAACAAUGGAUAAGUAGUUUAACACACCAAAUAGAAACCUAAGAGUCAAUAUGCAUUUAGGGUCUAUUGUGGACUUUUUCAGUCAUCUAUGAAUUAAAUUAAAGGUAUUAUAUUUGAAUAUAUAUUUAAAUAUUCACACAUAGAGAUGUAUCUUUUGAUUUUAGGGAAUCCAUAGGAAAAAAGAGAAUAACUAAAGCUCAUUCAGAUAAUGUAUGAUUAUAUAGUAUUAAACAGAUAUUUCAAGUUAUAUUUGAUUGAAAUGUUAUCUUGGAAUCUAUACAGCAUACAUAAAGUACCAUAUCUAUCAUAUAUUUCCAAAAUAAAUCCUAAAAUAAUUAACAAAAUCUCUUCCCAUGAUUGAAUUGUUUCUUGGAAAAUAAUUUGAAAACUCUAUCAGUACCUAUUCUACAGGUAUGUUUUAAAGUAAGCAUGUAAAUUAAUAUGACAUUGAUGAUUCCAGAUCUUGGGAUUCAAAAAUAAGAGUAGCAAAAAUAAAAUAGCAUGAUUUUAUAUAUUGCUUAAUUCCAUAAAUAUGUCAAAAUCGUCUUCAAGUUUCAGUUGUCUUCAAGUUUCAGCUGGGUUUGUACUGAUAUGGCAUCACAGAAUAUUCCUGUAGGAACCCCUGAAUUUGGAUCCCCUCUGGUCUCUGCAACACAAUGUCGAGGCACCACCUGAGUGAAAGGAGGAAGAUGUGUGUCAAAAGGCAGAACAGGAGGCACUGGAAGGUACUGAGAACAAACUCCCUGGGGUCAAAAGCAGGUAGAACCAUCCUACAAUUCCAUUCAAUCUGAAAAAUAUAUGACUUCCAUGAACUGUAUUUGAAGCCUUUUUAUGAAGUGGGUCAAGAUCAGGCACACCAGUAAAUGAUUUGGUUUUGCUUUUUUUAUGUGUUUUCCAGGUACCUCCCCUCAGAAUGUAUAGGAUUGCAUAAAUAUACAAUUUUUUUAAAAAUCUACAUAUCUAUGACUUCAGCUGGCUCUCACUGUUAUGUACUGUAUUUUCUUUCUCUUUUUAAAUCUUAAGUACAUGUUGACAUAUCUGAAGGCACUAAAUUUGUUUUGUGUAAUCAAAGAAUGUUAUUGCUUGAAAUCUCAUUAAUAAAAUUUUUAUAAUGCC
rnacentral:lncRNA from 1 species